rnacentral:antisense_RNA from 1 species
AGUGCAAGGGUGGUGGAGAGGGGACUGUGCCAGUUCCCUGGACAGUCCCAGCUGCUUCAUCUUGGACUGACAUGGACACCGGGCAGUAACACCAGCUCUUGGGAGUUGGUGGGAACGGGUGUAAUAUCAAAGCUCCCAGCUCUGCACUCUCCUGUCACAUAGGAAGACCUCAGAAAAUGGAGGUUCCUUCCUUUCUACCUGCACUGGGGGAGUGCAAUGAGCAGAAGAAAUGCGAAGGUCCCUCCGCCUUGUGAGAUCAGCUGACACCUGGGCUGCAUCCCUAGCCCUGCAGCCUGUUACUUCCCUUAACCACCACCCCCACCUCCAUCUUCAAGGCUGUGCUGCUCCCACCUCCAUCUUCAAGGCUAUGCUGGGCACUCCAGGCUGGGCGUGACGCAUUCCAAAUCUGCAGCUGCCCUCACUCUGCAUCCUGGGCCUCCACCACUCUCCAGGAGAGUGGGAGACGCCUGAGCCCUGGGUGGCGAGGAGAAGCGGCAGUCCUGUGCCGCCUCAGUGCCCCACUGCCUCCUUCGUGGAAUGGACUUGACAUCCCUGCCUCGCUGGCCAGGGCAUGGCCGAAACCUUCCCAGGAUGUAGGAGCACCUGGCACAGCGCUUGGCCAGUGAGGUGGUGGUUGCAAUAAUAACAACCAUCCCUUGUUGAACAUUCACCAGAUACCAAAUUCUCCACACCGCAUUUCACUUAGGCCUCCCUACCUAAGAGCUGGGUCCUAAUUCACUGGUUCUGCAGAUCAGGAAGGCAAAGCACAGACAGAACACACCACCACCUGCAGCUGUCUCCUGCCUCCAGUGCACCAGAGUCUGGAGCACGCUGCUUCUCUGGAGGGAGAUAAAGACACGGUGGCUACCUGGGGAGAUAAAACAGCACCAGCAGGAAUCAGGGGUUGCAGAGGAGGGAACCUGGCCCUGGGCUGUGUCCUGGCUUUUGUCUCUGCCACUCCUACUAAAACCACUCUGCUCAAGGCUGUCAUCAGUGUCUCCAUUGCCCAGCCCUGGACUGUCAGAGCCACUCCGGGACAGUUGCACCAGAUGCAUGAGUUUCCCGAUACAGCGAAAUCUCAGCAGGAGUUGACACCCACCUGCCUGGUGCUCUGGGAUGAAUUUCUGCACAGAUGCAACCUCUGUGGGUGGAAGCCGGGAUGAGGUGUAUGCAUCUGUGAAGACCGGCCUUCCAUCUGUUUUCUGAUGCAACCAAAAUGCUUCAGGGCUCGUCAUAUCUGGAGGUUUGAUGGCUACAGAUGUGAGGGGCUUCCAGGUAGAGCUCAGCCCUGAGACCUGUGGUCCCGUCUGGACAUCUGUAUGAAGAUGGAGAAGCGCCAGCCAACCUCUCCACAACCCUCCCCAAGUUCUCAUGGAACAUCCUCUGAUGGUCCCUCUCGGUGCUGGGUUCUGGCAGGAGAAAGAGAAGUCAGGGAACAGAAGAGCUGCUCUGCCAAAGUCAUGCCCUUCUUGGAGACACAGGGAACUCCAUCUGUCAUUCUCACUCGCAGUUUGCUGUGGCUCUAAUAUGUUUUCCAGAUGAGCAUGAGCAGACGCGAUGUGUUUGCCCUCCAGGUCUAACCCAUGCAAAGCCUCCUGGGAACACAUCUCAUGCUAUUUUCCCUUCCAUCAGCUGGAUGUGGAUGAUGAUUAGGAACUAGGGUGAGGUGGAGCCAGAAAACACAAGGAGCCUGGAUCCCUGAAUGACCACAUGGACAUACACAUGCUGAAGACUGCCUUGUAAGCAGGAAAUAAACAUCUACUGUAUUGAA